rnacentral:rRNA from 1 species
AUUAAACGCUGGCGGCAUGCCUUACACAUGCAAGUCGAACGGUAGCGCGGGGCAACCUGGCGACGAGUGGCGAACGGGUGAGUAAAGCAUCGGAACGUGCCCUGGAAUGGGGGAUAACGUAGCGAAAGUUACGCUAAUACCGCAUAUUCUGUGAGCAGGAAAGCAGGGGAUCGCAAGACCUUGCGUUCUGGGAGCGGCCGAUGUCGGAUUAGCUAGUUGGUGGGGUAAAAGCCUACCAAGGCGACGAUCCGUAGCGGGUCUGAGAGGAUGAUCCGCCACACUGGGACUGAGACACGGCCCAGACUCCUACGGGAGGCAGCAGUGGGGAAUUUUGGACAAUGGGCGAAGCCUGAUCCAGCCAUGCCGCGUGAGUAAAGAAGGCCUUCGGGUUGUUAAAGGACU